rnacentral:lncRNA from 1 species
ACCCAUUUACUAAUGGAAAUCAAAUUAAUUUAUUAAAAUUAAUUAGCAUCAAGAAUCGGAUUUUACUUAAUAUUUUUAUUUUUUGUGAUUUCCCAUCAGUUAGUUUCCCUUUUUUCUAAUUUGGGGUCCAAUGCCCACAUACUAAAUCAGUUUUCUUCCCUAAAUGUUCUGCAUAAUCAGGCCCCCUGGCGUAGUUUUCCUACUACUAGAUAUUGGUCAGUAUACUCUCUUUAAUUAAUUUUUUAAUAUAAUUUCCAGGAAUUUCUUGCAGUCCCAGAUUCCCUUAUAUGGUUUUUCUACUUAAAUACUGACCAGAACACUUAAUUUAGAUUUUCAUUUAGCCCCAAGAUUUCUAAGCCAUUCCCAGAGCUCCUUAAAUUAGUUUUCCCCAGCACCUAUAUAUAUGUUCAUCAGUGCGCCUAUACACUAAUCAUUUUCUUAUUUUUUUUUCCACCUAUUUUAGGAUAGUCACCAAAACCCAGGUAAUCUUCUCUCUUCUAAUCUCCUGCCCUUUAUUUGGUUUAAAUAUCCAUCAAGAUUUUACUUCCCUAUUCUAAUAAUUUUCCUAAAAUCUUAUGCUGCUGAUAUGCCUCCCUUACAGACCCGGUUUGGGUGUCUAAACCUAUUUCUGACGCUGUGUAAACAUAUUUAGUUCGAACAGAAUGUAUCAACUCAAUUCCUACCAAAAUCCUGAAGCUAACGCACCAUUUCUUUGAGGAGGUUUGGAUCCCCGUCAAUAAUUCCCUUCCCUGGAUUAAACAACUCCCUAGAAUGUACCGGAGACACUGACACAUUCAACCAUAAACUGAUUUUACUCAAAAAAUUCAUACAUGGGCUAAGGCAGAAGAUAUUCAACUCAUUUUCUAUACACUUCUGGGUUUUAAGGUCAAGUCUGUUCAAGACAUUGUCUCUAAAUAUACCAAUAACAAAUAUAGGUUAAGAGAGUAAAUAAAACUUACCGGAAUUUCAAACAGAAAAGAAGUUCACUCAGAUCAAAGGGCGUCGUGCUGCGCAUCGCGAGCGGAACCCACUGCGCACGCCAGGCCUUCACGUCUCCUUCUUGUCCUCUUUCUUGUUGUUCUUCUUUUUCUCUCUCCUUGCGACAUUCUCCUCUCUCUCUCUAUCACCUCCUCUUCUGUCACAUCUCCUUCCCUCUCUCUUUUCCCUUCGUGUGGCCGCCGUGCCGUGCAGUACCGCACGACUCUUCUCUCUCGACUGUCGAUGCCGCUUGGCCUCCACUCUUUCUUCCUUCUGGUUACUGCUUAGUCUUCGCUUCUUAUUUACUUCUCUCUUCUCUCUUUUUUUUCUCUUUCUUUCUUUCUUUAUUUUUCUAUUAUUUAAUUAUAUAUGUAUAUAUAUAAAUGUAUUUUUGCCACCCAUCUCCUUCUGAGGCGUACACAACUCCGGGCUCUUCGGUUUUUUCAUUUUCAUC